CAGCCGCCGCGGUAAUACGUAGGGUGCAAGCGUUAUCCGGAAUUAUUGGGCGUAAAGAGCUCGUAGGCGGUUUGUCGCGUCUGCUGUGAAAACUGGAGGCUCAACCUCCAGCCUGCAGUGGGUACGGGCAGACUAGAGUGCGGUAGGGGAGAUUGGAAUUCCUGGUGUAGCGGUGGAAUGCGCAGAUAUCAGGAGGAACACCGAUGGCGAAGGCAGAUCUCUGGGCCGUAACUGACGCUGAGGAGCGAAAGCGUGGGGAGCGAACAGGAUUAGAUACCCCGGUAGUCCCUGUCUCUUAUAC
rnacentral:rRNA from 1 species